rnacentral:rRNA from 1 species
CCUACGGGUGGCAGCAGUGAGGAAUAUUGGUCAAUGGGCGCUAGCCUGAACCAGCCAAGUAGCGUGAAGGAUGACUGCCCUAUUGGUUGUAAACUUCUUUUAUAUGGGAAUAAAGUGCAGUAUGUAUACUGCUUUGCAUGUACCUUAUGAAUAAGGAUCGGCUAACUCCGUGCCAGCAGCCGCGGUAAUACGGAGGAUCCGAGCGUUAUCCGGAUUUAUUGGGUUUAAAGGGUGCGUAGGCUGGUUUUUAAGUCAGUGGUAAAAGUUUGGGGCUCAACCGUAAAAUUGCAGUUGAUACGGGAAGUUUGGAGAGAGUGAGAGGGAGGAGGAAUGCGUGGGGGAGCGGGGAAUGGCAUAGAUACAACGAAGAACUCCGAUUGCGAAGGCAGC